GGCACACUCGCUCGAGUUGUUUUCGCUUCGACCUUAAUCUGUGGCGCGAAAUUCUACUGCCAAAACAAAGCAUACAACCCCUCCACUAUUACGAGUGAGUACCAGAAAAGGAGGCGAAGAAAAGCAAAGGCGAAGAAAGCUGGUGGCAUGAUGACAGCGUCUCAGGUAACCCCACGCUCCACCUAUUUAUUAAUCCCGUUUUUCUUCUUUCCAACCCUAUCAGAGAUGCUGCACAAAUUUUCUCCUCUUUUUUCUUUACAGGAAAGAGAAGAACCAGAUGAAGAAGAGAAGGAGAUCAGCUUAGAAGAAGAGUCCCCUCCCUCUGUUUCUUCCUGUGUUAUGUUUCUUUUUGGGGAUUCAUCUGCUGGUCCUGCUUAUCUGUUCACGAAAUGGUUACAAUCUGUGCGUAAACAGAGUGGAAGGUAUCGAUCUUCGGGGUUUCCUAAUCGACCAUCGAGAUUGACAAGUAUGCCAUUACUGUUGCCCUCCGAUCAUGCCAGAUCAAGAGAAUAUGAUGUUGAUUCAGUAGAUUCAUUGCCGUCCGAACAUGCCCCAGAGAUCAGUUUGUGGGAGAGACUAGGCAAAGCUGCACGGUUGGACAUUGAGUCAAGUGAAUUUUCUUGGGACUUGCUGGCAUCUCUGCACCAUACGGAACACAGUAGCAGUACUGACCAAUCUGAAGAGGAAAUGAUGAAGCCCCUUGAGGUAACUGUCAACUCUGGGGGAGUUGUUUUCUUUGCCUUGUUCAACAGACCUGAGAGCGAUGAACUCAUACCAAACGAAGCAGCAGCAGUUAUAAAAUUUUCUUCCUCUAGGAUGGCAACACAAUCAGAGCGCUUGGGUUAUGAGUUUGCCAAGUGGCUAGGAAUCCAAACACCACAAGCUAGAGUUAUUCAUAACAGUAAUCCAGAAUGGCAAAGAAUCAAGGAUGCUGCUGGGAAAGCAAAAGAGGCUGCAGUUGCAGAAGGUGAUGAAGUAGGGGAGAUGACAUGCUCUGAAUUGUUGGAAGCCCUUGAACUGAGUCGAUGCCUUCUUCUUAUGAAUUAUGUUCAUGGGCCCCCCCUCUUAGACAGCAUUAAUGCCUUCAAUUUCCAGGAAGUAGCUGAAAAGACAGCUUCAGCUCUAGGCAGGAUAUUGUUGUUGGACCUUGUUCUUAGGAAUGAAGAUAGGCUUCCCUGUCGCCAACUUGGGUGGCGUGGAAACCCAGCAAACCUUUUAUUUGCGGAGAAAUUGGCCUCUCCAGAUAUGGAAGCCAUUCAGGGUGAUGCACUUGUUGUACCAAGAAGAAACAGGAUUAUAAAAUCUCUCCAGAAAGAGAGAAGAUUCUAUUCAGUUGAUAGUAGGCUGAGUCCUGGUAGACAUUCCUUAAUAUCUCAGAGCUCUGAUGCAUCCGAGUUUAUGGCUUCUUCCCCUGAAUCCACUCGUACAGAUUCAGGGAUUUCUGACUUUCAUGAUACCCAGUUUGGCGAUUUUCAUAUUGUGGCGAUCGAUUCUGGAGUCCCUCGCAGGCCCCCUGCUGGUAAACGCGCAAAUGACCAAGUUCAGUAUCCAAAGUUGGUAGAGCUCCUCCUCAAUAGUUCCGAGUUCUCUGCAAAUUUGCUUCAUGAAUUAUCUGCGGGUAAGUUAGGGUAUCAUGUCCCAGAAGAAUGUAUUGGACAAGUGGAACCUUGUUCUUCUGAUACUGCUAUGAUUGUUCAUCAGUUUCGUGGUGGGUUUCGUGCUGCUCUGAGGGAGCUCCAGAGCUUUCAAAUAUUCCUCCUAACUGUUUACCAAAAACUGGAUGGGCUUCUUCGAGCUUUCUUAUUGAUAAUCAAUAAAAGCUCAACAGGAGACAAUGAGAAGGAGGAGUGUGGGCUUUCUGAGUCACUAUCACAAGCUUCUGGUUUUAGCCAAAAUUUUCCGUCAUCUUUUAAUAAGGAACGGAAUGUACCAGAAAACCAUGCAGAGUGCAGUGAACCUUCUUUCAAGUCAUCUUCUUCCAGUUCUAAAGAGAGCCCAGACUCGGCUUCCCCUGUGUCACGAGAAAAUUGGCACGGGAGAUACUCUAAAGGAGGUGGAGAUCCUCUUCGAAGCUUGCGCUUAACAACGAAACUUAAGGACUUCAACAAAUAUGCCAAGUUAGAUGCAGAAUUAAGCAAAGAGUUAGAGCAAUGGAAUGAGAUGCUGAGAAUAGAGGCAGUUAAACUAUGCCAAGACAACAACUUUCACACUGGUUUUUUUGAAGGAAGCGAUAACAACAGUGUCAUUGAUGCAUACGAGUUGAAGGUUAGGCUUGACCACCUUCUUGAGAGGAUAGCUCUGAUAUCUGAUGCUGCGAAUACAGAAAGACCAUCUUCAAUUACAGGUAACCUGUUUAUUGGUGGAGCACUGGCCGCAAGAUCUGCGCACACCCUCCAAUACUUGGGCAUCACUCAUAUACUGUGCUUAUGCUCAAAUGAAACUGGGCAAUCAGAAUCUCAGUAUCCUGAACUGUUUGAGUACAAGAAUUUCUCAAUAUGUGACACUGACGAUGCGAAGAUCAACAAUCUAUUUGAAGAUGCUUCGGACUUCAUUGAACACGUGGAGAGUUUGGGAGGAAAAGUUUUGGUUCAUUGUUUUGAAGGAAGAAGUCGAAGUGCUACUGUUGUUCUCGCCUACUUAAUAUUAAGAAACUGCUAUUUGAUCGUGGGUUAAAUCUUGCAAGAGAGGGUGAGAUUAUUGUCAUGAUAUGGUAUUUCUUGCAAAUCGCGUUUGAGCUGAGCUGGAGCUUUCAUUCUGCUGUUAGUCAUGCCGACAUGGGUUUCCCACCCCACAUUCCAUGUUCCAUGACCUUCACUGUUAGAUAGUAGCAAAUGACUCCAAGGGAGUGGGUUUCAUUCUCCAUUAAUCUCAUUCCUGAAUAAUGAUGGCAAUGAUUUUCAGAGUAUUGGGUAUGCAUUUUGGCUUUGGAGGUGCCAUGAAACAUUGAGAUAUCCAUAAUAUCCGAUAUUGUUUAGCAAGUGAUUUGGAGUAUAUAUCCAAUGUGUCCUUGCAGAUGCUCGCGUCAGAGGAUUUAGACAUAUACUGGAUAUGCCCCUCUAGGGCUACCUAUCACUAGAGGACUUGGACAUAUAUCAGAUAUGCCCCUGUGGUUGCUGACCACUAGAGGACUUGAAGACAUAUAUCAAAAAUACCCCUGUGACUGCCAGCUACUAGAGGACUUAAAACUAGAAAAGAGGACCUUGGCCAGAAUCUUAUAGGAGCUAUUCGCCAAACUAAUAGGGGCGAAAUCUUUUAGCUUCACCGCACCCUCUACUUUGGGGAUAAGGGCUACAAAGGUAGUGUUCAUUGCCUUGUUAAUGAUUCCCCUAUCAUAGAAUUCGGCAAAGAAAGCCCGCAAGUCUGGGUGCAAGAGCUCUCAAAAGCGAUUAUAAAUGGCUAUUUGAAAUCCGUCUGGGCCGGGGGCUCUAUCCUGGCCUAAGUCUUUAAUGGAUGAGAUUAUUUCCGAUUCUAGGAAGGGUACGUCAAGACUUUGAGCUUGGGCAGGUGAAAGAGUGAGAAAAGAAAGCUCUGCCAUUUGUUGGCUGAGGCGUGGCAGAAAAGAGAUCCUUGAAAUAUUGAAUAAUGGUUUCUUCUACUCUAGAAGGGUCAUCCAAUGACUCCCUGAGACUGAAUUUGUGUGAUGAGAUUUUCACUUCUUCUACAAUUGGCAAUCUUAUGAAAGUAACCAGUGUUGAGAUCUACUUACCCAAAAAAAAAAAAAAACCAGUGUUGAGAUCUCCUGUCUUGAGCCACCUGACUCUGGAACGCUGUGCCCAAAAGAUCUCCUUCCGAAUGGUACAUUGAAAGUCAGCUUUGUAUUGAGAUCUCAGGAGCUGCUCAUUGGAAGAAAGAGAACGGGACUCCUCAAGAGUGUUGAGGUCAUGAAUCACUGAGAGUAGAGAAAGUUUCAUAGCCCAGAAAUUCCCAGGUAAGUUCUUGCUCCAAGUUUUGAGGGCCUCUUUGAGGAGCUUGAGUUUUUGUUGGAAUCUGAAACCAGCCCAACCUUGAAUUAAGGGGGAAAAGAGGAUCACCAGGAAGGAACAAGGGAGUGGAGGGAGGAUUCUUCGAGCCAGGCCAUUUCAAAGCGGAAAGGUCUAGGGCCUCCUAAGGGAGGGGAGGUACCUAAGAGAAGAGGUUUAUGUUAAAAAAUAGUUUUGGCUAAAACUCGUGAUGUGGUGCCUGGGAAGGAGGCCUCCCACUCCAAACUGCGAAGGAAGCGGUCGAUCUUGGAAAGGCAGGGGGAUGGAGAAGAGUGGUUCGACCAAGUGAAUCUUGCUCCAAGGAGAGGGAUAUCCAUGAGAUCAUUGUUAACUAUCCAGUCCACAAAAUCCAUCAUAGCCUGAGAAAUAGUGGAAGAAUUUGAUCUUUCAAAAGACCAUCUAGUGUCGCUGAAGUGACAUCCCAGACACUAAGAGGGGGGCGGGGGGUCUCAGAGGCUGAGAAUUUGGCCUGUGAACUUCCACAGAAGACCGUCCGACAAAUGAGAGAGGGACACUAUGACCGAAAAGGAGGCCACCACGGAAGAGGAGAGAGAAUGGGAGGAUAGGUCCUAGAUAACCCAAAUACCCCUGGAGGCACCCUGGGCUUCGAGGGCAAUCCAUUGACAUGGCCUAUGACCCCAGACUUGACUGAUUUGGUGGAGAGACGUAACCUGGAGCUUGGUCUCAAUUAGAGUUGCAAUAGAGGGUUGAUAUUGAGAGCAGUAGGAAAGAACGAAGGAUGUAUUUUUGCUAGAGCCAAGGCUGUGGAUAUUCCAUACUAAAAUCUUCAUUAUCUGGACAGGGAAAGAGAGUGUGUAGCCGAGCGGCUAGGAGUGGCUUGCGCCCCCGCCGGAGAGGGGGAGCACUGGAAGAGUCUCAAUCGAAAUGCACAUAAAAGAAGAGAUUGGAAACUUCUCUAGAUUGCUUCAGACUUACUUUGAAACGUGUCUCAGCAUUGGAGCGACAAAAAGCCUCCACAUCUUCCUAUGAUCCAUCGAACUUAAAACCCACAACCCGGUGCACUUGGUCAGCUUUCCCCGGCGCACUUUCUGUGGACCUGACUUUGUCUUUCAAGGUUUGCCAAUGAGAAAAUCCUUUGGUUGCGCUCUUUCCAGAUGGUCCAUAGGGUUGCGGCCACUAAUGCCUUCCAAAGCAUUAGUCGGAAAAGCUGAGACACUGACUCGGGUGUAACCCAUGAUCACCUGAACAGUUGGAGGAUAUCUUCCCACAGAAGGCUAGCUGUGCUGCAAUGGAUGAAUAAGUGUGAGUUUGUUUCUUCAUUGGCCAUGCACAUCACACAGCAGUUGGGAAGUUGCAAUCCCCGUUUUUGUAGCUUAUCAACUAUGAAAGCUCUCUCCGAAAUGGCCACCACCCAGUUGAAGACCUGGAUUUUUGGGCGGAUGUAGGGAAUCCAAGCUAGGGUUGUAGGCGGUUUGCCUGUGAGAGAGUUUUGCUGGAGGGGUGAUGAGUUUAAGGUAGAAAGAGAAGACUGUGAAGGCUCCCGAGGAAGUGGGGGACCACAAGAUUUGGUCUUUACCAUGAUGGGGCAGAAAAGGGGAAUGUAAAGAGUUCCAAGAAGGCUGGGGUUUCUGCAUCCGUAUGAUCUCUACGAUGGUCGGGUUCCACACUCGGGGGAUGUUGCGGGUGGAAGGUGGUCUGCAACCAGGGUGUUGGGAUCUCUAGCUAGUUGGAAAAGGCUGGGGAAGUGAAGCAUUAGAGGGAGGUGGCCGAUCCAACGGUCUCUUCAGAAUCUGACUUUGUCGCUCUCUCUAGGAUGGAACGGAAUGUGGGUUUUCAAGCAAUGAAGACAAUGGAUAAUGGAUUUCCAGAAGCCCAAGGAUGAUUAAUGAGGUCUUCUGGGAGGAAUCAUGGGGAGGAGUUGAGACGAUAUUUGUGGGUCAAGACCUGGUGCCACAUUUGGCCAGCCUGGGUAGCAAUUCUCUACCACGAUUUACCUAGUAGAGCUGGGUUAUUCUUUCAAAGACUAUGGAUUCCCAAACCACCAAGGGAUCUAGGUUUGCAGACUGCGUGCCAAGAUAUAAGGUGAUUUUUUCUGGAUUCCUUGUCCCCUGACCAAAGAAAGUUGUGCAUAAGUUGCUCGAGAUGCUGAGCAAUCGUGGGUAUGUGCAAGAGCGACAUUUUAUAUGUAGGAACGUUUGAGAGCGUUGCUUCUCUGGCCACCAAGGAGAGGUGCCUUCUUUUCCAUGUAGCAAAUUUGCUAUCACAGCGAUCGAUGAUGUGGCUCGAAAGGCUUUUUUUCAGGCUUGCCAAGGCACAAAGGCAAUCCUAGGUAGGUGGGAGAGAUGGAGUCAGUUUUGCAACCUCGCCUAUCAGCAAAAGCCUGGGUAGAGAGAUGGUGAAGGGAACUGCUGAUCAUCUUGGAUUUUGUGAGGUUGACUUUGAGGCCCGUGGGAAGUGGAAACAUUUGAGAAAAAGGAGUAAGUUGUCAACCUGUUGGGCCAAAGCGUUACAAAAGACGAGCGUGUCAUUAACAUAUUGGAGGUGGGGGAUGGCUGGAACAUCCCUAGCAGUCUUGAAGCCCUCUAGAAGCUGUAUUUAUACAUCCUAGAGAGGGAUCUGCUGAAAACCUUAGCAGCAAUUGCAAAGAGGAAGGGGGAAAGGGGGUUGCCCUGUCUGAGGCCCUUGAGGAGUGGAAGAAGCCACGAGGAGAGCAAUUACUGAGAAAAGAAAAAUAGGGUUGGUGGAUACAUCCUCGGAUCCACCUUCUGCGAAGGGUUUCCUCCAGGAUGGCCCAAAUGACAUGGUUGUAGCCUUUUCCCAGUCCCGUUUAAUGACCAGGCCUGGUGUCUUGGAGACGUUUCCGGAGUAAUCAUUUGGUAUGCUGUAAAAAAAGAUGGACUGCGUGCUUUUGGAAGGACCUGUAGCUGCACCCUCAACCAUUGUAGGUUGACUUCCCUUGCCUAUUCAGUGUAGCUUCCAACCAGAAAGCCACUGUCUUCUGUUUCUGUGAGCAGCGUGGCCCCAAACAAUACGGACGUCGAGGUUUAUAUGCAAUCUAGAUGACAACAAAGCCUUAGAGCUAGCUUUCGUGCUGCUAGGCUACAACGCCACUUCAUACCUCGUUCAGGCCCUGACAAAAUGGGAGCCCUGGUAUGGCUGGCGUUGAAAGUGCCUUUGGAAAUCACAUGGGCGCCUGCUCUUGUAUAUGUGGGUCCCAUUGGCUUCUCGGACACAAACUCGGCCGAAGCGCAAACUCUGGUUAUGGGCCUCAAAUUUAUCGACAGGGGUUGGAGGAAAUUCACCCUUCUGGAUGCAUGGAAUGUGCUGAAGAAAGUUCAUCGUCGAGCGCAACCCAAUGAUGGUUUCAUGAGAACCCUUUUG